rnacentral:rRNA from 1 species
UACGGGGGGGGCAAGCGUUGUUCGGAAUUACUGGGCGUAAAGGGCUCGUAGGUGGCCAACUAAGUCAGAGGUGAAAUCCCUCGGCUUAACCGGGGAACUGCGUCUGAUACUGGAUGGCUUGAGAUUGGGAGAGGGAUGCGGAAUUCCAGGUGUAGCGGUGAAAUGCGUAGAUAUCUGGAGGAACACCGGUGGCGAAGGCGGCAUCCUGGACCAACACUGACACUGAGGAGCGAAAGCCAGGGGAGCAAACGGG